GAUGAAGAACGUAGCGAAAUGCGAUACGUAAUGUGAAUUGCAGAAUUCCGUGAAUCAUCGAAUCUUUGAACGCACAUUGCGCCCCCUGGUAUUCCGGGGGGCAUGCCUGUCCGAUCGUCAUUGCAACCCUCAAGCGCGGCUUGUGUGUUGGGCUUCGUCCCCCCGUGGACGUGCCCGAAAGGCAGUGGCGGCGUCCCGAAUGGUGCCCGAGCGUAUGGGAACUCUCUUCCGCUCGAACCGGCCCAUUCGGCGCUGGUCGAACCCCAAUUUUUUUUUACCGGUUGACCUCGGAUCAGGUAGGGAUACCCGCUGAACUUAAGCAUAUCAAUAAGCGGAGGA
rnacentral:misc_RNA from 1 species